rnacentral:rRNA from 1 species
GAUAAACGCUGGCGGCGUGCUUAACACAUGCGAGUCGAACGAAGUUUUUCUUUCGGGAGGAACUUAGUGGCGGACGGGUGAGUAACGCGUGGGUAACCUGCCCUGUACAGGGGGACAACAGCUGGAAACGGCUGCUAAUACCGCAUAAGCCCUUAGCACUGCAUGGUGCAUAGGGAAAAGGAGCAAUCCGGUACAGGAUGGACCCGCGUCUGAUUAGCCAGUUGGCAGGGUAACGGCCUACCAAAGCGACGAUCAGUAGCCGAUCUGAGAGGAUGUACGGCCACAUUGGGACUGAGACACGGCCCAGACUCCUACGGGAAGCAGCAGUGGGGAAUAUUGCACAAUGGAGGAAACUCUGAUGCAGCGACGCCGCGUGAGUGAAGAAGUAUUUCGGUAUGUAAAGCUCUAUCAGCAGGAAAGAAAAUGACGGUACCUGACUAAGAAGCACCGGCUAAAUACGUG